CGUGAUUCUAAACAUUGCCGCGCACAGUACUUUGACGUCACUGGCCAAUAAACCCGUCUAUACAGCUACAAGUCAGAACAGUUACGCGUGGCCCUAAAAACCAAAAUCGCCAUUCAAGAACAUUUGGAGCAUUAUACCAAAAAGCGUUGGAAGAUGCCAGCAAAUUGAGGAACCAGUAAUGCAUUAUAUUCGUCUUCUUACACACACCCGUUGAUGAGACCAUCAUUCGUUAUUUUUGAUAACUCCUAGGUUAUGACCAGGUCGCCAGUGUCAUGCCAUGGAAAACACUAUCGAAAUGGAUCACUAAGUAACAUACAAGUUAACUUGAAAUUGACUUGCCUGUGACGUAUUAUAAGUAAACUAUAAGCGCUAGGACCGUAAAUAUGUUUUAAAUGUAUUAAAAGUUUGGGGGUUUUUGAAGAUGCAUGUAUGUAAUAAAUAGAAUACUACAUU